UCUUGACUAGUAUAUCGGUUCAGUACACCCGCUUGUCAUAAAGCAGUUCAUUGGUCCGCGGGAGAGCAGGGUUUGACUCCCUGGUCGAGAG